rnacentral:rRNA from 1 species
UACGUAGGGUGCAAGCGUUAAUCGGAUUUACUGGGCGUAAAGCGCACGUAGGCGGAUUGUUAAGUCAGGGGUGAAAUCCUGGAGCUCAACUCCAGAACUGCCUUUGAUACUGGCAAUCUCGAGUCCGGAAGAGGUAAGUGGAACUCCUAGUGUAGAGGUGGAAUUCGUAGAUAUUAGGAAGAACACCAGUGGCGAAGGCGGCUUACUGGUCCGGAACUGACGCUGAGGUGCGAAAGCGUGGGGAGCAAACAGG